AGAGUUUGAUCCUGGCUCAGAUUGAACGCUGGCGGCAUGCCUUACACAUGCAAGUCGAACGGCAGCACGAGAGCUUGCUCUUGGUGGCGAGUGGCGAACGGGUGAGUAAUAUAUCGGAACGUACCCUAGAGUGGGGGAUAACGUAGCGAAAGUUACGCUAAUACCGCAUACGAUCUACGGAUGAAAGUGGGGGAUCGCAAGACCUCAUGCUCAUGGAGCGGCCGAUAUCUGAUUAGCUAGUUGGUGGGGUAAAAGCUCACCAAGGCGACGAUCAGUAGCUGGUCUGAGAGGACGACCAGCCACACUGGAACUGAGACACGGUCCAGACUCCUACGGGAGGCAGCAGUGGGGAAUUUUGGACAAUGGGCGCAAGCCUGAUCCAGCAAUGCCGCGUGAGUGAAGAAGGCCCUCGGGUUGUAAAGCUCUUUUGUCAGGGAAGAAACGGUGGACUCUAAUACAGAUCACUAAUGACGGUACCUGAAGAAUAAGCACCGGCUAACUACGUGCCAGCAGCCGCGGUAAUACGUAGGGUGCAAGCGUUAAUCGGAAUUACUGGGCGUAAAGCGUGCGCAGGCGGUUGUGCAAGACAGAUGUGAAAUCCCCGGGCUCAACCUGGGAAUUGCAUUUGCGACUGCACGGCUAGAGUGUGUCAGAGGGGGGUAGAAUUCCACGUGUAGCAGUGAAAUGCGUAGAGAUGUGGAGGAAUACCGAUGGCGAAGGCAGCCCCCUGGGAUAACACUGACGCUCAUGCACGAAAGCGUGGGGAGCAAACAGGAUUAGAUACCCUGGUAGUCCACGCCCUAAACGAUGUCUACUAGUUGUCGGGUCUUAAUUGACUUGGUAACGCAGCUAACGCGUGAAGUAGACCGCCUGGGGAGUACGGUCGCAAGAUUAAAACUCAAAGGAAUUGACGGGGACCCGCACAAGCGGUGGAUGAUGUGGAUUAAUUCGAUGCAACGCGAAAAACCUUACCUACCCUUGACAUGUCUGGAAUCCUUGAGAGAUCAGGGAGUGCUCGAAAGAGAAUCAGAACACAGGUGCUGCAUGGCUGUCGUCAGCUCGUGUCGUGAGAUGUUGGGUUAAGUCCCGCAACGAGCGCAACCCUUGUCAUUAGUUGCUACGAAAGGGCACUCUAAUGAGACUGCCGGUGACAAACCGGAGGAAGGUGGGGAUGACGUCAAGUCCUCAUGGCCCUUAUGGGUAGGGCUUCACACGUCAUACAAUGGUACAUACAGAGGGCCGCCAACCCGCGAGGGGGAGCUAAUCCCAGAAAGUGUAUCGUAGUCCGGAUUGUAGUCUGCAACUCGACUACAUGAAGUUGGAAUCGCUAGUAAUCGCGGAUCAGCAUGUCGCGGUGAAUACGUUCCCGGGUCUUGUACACACCGCCCGUCACACCAUGGGAGCGGGUUUCACCAGAAGUGGGUAGCCUAACCGCAAGGAGGGCGCUCACCACGGUGGGAUUCGUGACUGGGGUGAAGUCGUAACAAGGUA
rnacentral:rRNA from 1 species